rnacentral:rRNA from 1 species
UGCAAGUCGAGCGGACAGAAGGGAGCUUGCUCCCGGAUGUUAGCGGCGGACGGGUGAGUAACACGUGGGUAACCUGCCUGUAAGACUGGGAUAACUCCGGGAAACCGGAGCUAAUACCGGAUAGUUCCUUGAACCGCAUGGUUCAAGGAUGAAAGACGGUUUCGGCUGUCACUUACAGAUGGACCCGCGGCGCAUUAGCUAGUUGGUGAGGUAACGGCUCACCAAGGCGACGAUGCGUAGCCGACCUGAGAGGGUGAUCGGCCACACUGGGACUGAGACACGGCCCAGACUCCUACGGGAGGCAGCAGUAGGGAAUCUUCCGCAAUGGACGAAAGUCUGACGGAGCAACGCCGCGUGAGUGAUGAAGGUUUUCGGAUCGUAAAGCUCUGUUGUUAGGGAAGAACAAGUGCAAGAGUAACUGCUUGCACCUUGACGGUACCUAACCAGAAAGCCACGGCUAACUACGUGCCAGCAGCCGCGGUAAUACGUAGGUGGCAAGCGUUGUCCGGAAUUAUUGGGCGUAAAGGGCUCGCAGGCGGUUUCUUAAGUCUGAUGUGAAAGCCCCCGGCUCAACCGGGGAGGGUCAUUGGAAACUGGGAAACUUGAGUGCAGAAGAGGAGAGUGGAAUUCCACGUGUAGCGGUGAAAUGCGUAGAGAUGUGGAGGAACACCAGUGGCGAAGGCGACUCUCUGGUCUGUAACUGACGCUGAGGAGCGAAAGCGUGGGGAGCGAACAGGAUUAGAUACCCUGGUAGUCCACGCCGUAAACGAUGAGUGCUAAGUGUUAGGGGGUUUCCGCCCCUUAGUGCUGCAGCUAACGCAUUAAGCACUCCGCCU